rnacentral:rRNA from 1 species
CCUUGCCAGCCCGCUCAAGAAACUCAAAGGAAUUGACGGGGCCCGCACAAGCGGUGGAGUAUGUGGUUUAAUUCGAUGCAACGCGAAGAACCUUACCUGGUCUUGACAUCCCGGAGACCCUUAGGAAACUAGGGGGUGCUUCCAUCUGGAAGAAUCUGGAGACAGGUGCUGCAUGGCUGUCGUCAGCUCGUGUCGUGAGAUGUUGGGUUAAGUCCCGCAACGAGCGCAACCCUUGCCUUUAGUUGCCAGCAGUUCGGCUGGGCACUCUAAAGGGACUGCCGGUGUUAAACCGGAGGAAGGUGGGGAUGACGUCAAGUCCUCAUGGCCUUUAUGACCAGGGCUACACACGUACUACAAUGGCCGAUACAAAGGGCAGCGACACUGCGAGGUGAAGCCAAUCCCGUAAAAUCGGUCUCAGUCCGGAUUGGAGUCUGCAACUCGACUCCAUGAAGUUGGAAUCGCUAGUAAUCGUGGAUCAGCAUGCCACGGUGAAUACGUUCCCGGGCCUU